UAGAGGUUUGGUGUUCUUGUAAAAUGUGAUGAUGUUAAACCAACUUUUAAACUUUUACAAAUAGAAGAGAAGUUAUAUAAGUUCAUUUCUUAAAUGUUGUUUUCUCUGACUUACAGGAAAGCCACACCCUUGCAUUUAGCGUAUCAAUAGGUGGGCGGUAACCUGGCCCACCUCUUUGGUGAUAAAAAGGUCAUGCUGUUCAGCCACUGUGCCAUUUACUUGGUAAAACCUUUUUGGGUCAAAACUUUCUCAGUUUUUGCUGUGAAGUGGAAGCCAUCUUUUACUUUUAGUAGCUUUGUUUGUGCAUUUCUCCAUCUUCUUUGAAGAUUUUGUUUCCUGAUUUGCCAACUACAACCGCUACAACCUGCCAAGAUGCCUCGUGGCAAAGGGUACCGUAAAGCUCAGGCCUUGAAGAGCAGACAGUUUAUGCCGAAGCCUGUGGAGGAGCUGUUCGAGGUUGUGCCAAGCUGUACGGCUUUUACUCCACGUCACGGAACAGGCUUCAGGCACAGGGUUUGUCGUUGGCCCUUGUCGCCUAACACAGGCAAAAGCUUGAAGGUUGUCAUCCCAC